rnacentral:lncRNA from 1 species
UGUUUGACUGGCUCAUGCUCACAUAGAUGAUGUAUGAAAUUAUUAUUUCAUAUUUUUCUAGUGUUUGCAUUGCAAGUGACAUCUGGCUGACAGGAACUUGGAGAAAUGGGAUACAAAGUGAAUGCUGCAGUUACCACGGUAUCAUAUUUAUCAAAAGGCUUAAGAGUUCUUGAACAGGAGGUAAUCUGACACGAAGUGUAUUUACAGUAUUGGUAAGUGAUACAACUGGUUAUAUGAAUUUUUUUGACAGUAUUUAUUGAAGUGAAAUUGGCAGUCUGCAGAUCAGGAAAGCAUGGUGUAGGUUGUGCUCUAGAAGUAUUAGGAAGAUGAGAAAUACAGAUUUGGAGAAUGCAGCACAUAGCUGAAUGUCAUUCUAAUGUUGACAGUACACUUCCAAGACAUAAAAGUGUAUUAGAAAUGAGGCCUUUUUCUAUAUCAGCUCUUUCUUGAAUCUCUUCAUUGAAACACAAGCUUCCAGGUCUGUAAGUCAUUCUCUCAUGCCAGAUGGGG